rnacentral:rRNA from 1 species
GCACNGGCAUAGAGCCUGUGCUUUUUGAACCGUAGGGAGGUUCAGGAACAAGAGCUGGGCAAGACCGGUGCCCAGCCGCCGCGGUAAUACCGGCAGCUCGAGUGAUGGCCGAUCUUAUUGGGGCCUAAAGCGUCCGUAGCUGGCCUUGCAAGUCCGUCGGGAAAUCCACCCGCUCAACGGGUGGGCGUCCGGCGGAAACUGUGAGGCUUGGGACCGGGAGGCUUGAAGGGUACGUCCGGGGUAGGAGUGAAAUCCUGUAAUCCUGGACGGACCGCCGAUGGGGAAACCACUUCAAGAGAACGGAUCCGACAGUGAGGGACGAAAGCUAGGGUCUCGAACCGGAUUAGAUACCCGGGUAGUCCUAGCUGUAAACGAUGCCUGUUAGGUGUGACUCCCACUACGAGUGGGUGUUGUGCCGUAGGGAAGCCGCUAAACAGGCCGCCUGGGAAGUACGUCUGCAAGGAUGAAACUUAAAGGAAUUGGCGGGGGAGCACUACAACCGGAGGAGCCUGCGGUUUAAUUGGACUCAACGCCGGACAUCUCACCAGCAUCGACUGUGGUAAUGACGGUCAGGUUGAUGACCUUACCCGAGCCACAGAGAGGAGGUGCAUGGCCGCCGUCAGCUCGUACCGUGAGGCGUCCUGUUAAGUCAGGCAACGAGCGAGACCCGCAUCCUUACUUGCCAGCAGCACCGCGAGGUGGCUGGGGACAGUAGGGAGACCGCCGUGGCUAACACGGAGGAAGGAACGGGCAACGGUAGGUCAGUAUGCCCCGAAUAUGCUGGGCAACACGCGGGCUACAAUGGCCGAGACAAUGGGUUCCAACGCCGAGAGGCGACGGUAAUCUCAGAAACUCGGUCGUAGUUCGGAUUGUGGACUGAAACUCGUCCACAUGAAGCUGGAUUCGGUAGUAAUCGCGUUCAGAAGCGC